rnacentral:rRNA from 1 species
CGCCUGGGGAGUACGGCCGCAAGGUUAAAACUCAAAUGAAUUGACGGGGGCCCGCACAAGCGGUGGAGCAUGUGGUUUAAUUCGACGCAACGCGAAGAACCUUACCUGGCCUUGACAUGCAGAGAACUUUCCAGAGAUGGAUUGGUGCCUUCGGGAACUCUGACACAGGUGCUGCAUGGCCGUCGUCAGCUCGUGUCGUGAGAUGUUGGGUUAAGUCCCGUAACGAGCACAACCCCUAUCCCUAGUUGCUAGCAGUUCGGCUGAGAACUCUAGGGAGACUGCCGGUGACAAACCGGAGGAAGGUGGGGAUGACGUCAGGUCAUCAUGGCCCUUACGGACAGGGCUACACACGUGCUACAAUGGUGCGCACAGAGGGCUGCAAACCCGCGAGGGGGAGCCAAUCUCACAAAACGCAUCGUAGUCCGGAUCGCAGUCUGCAACUCGACUGCGUGAAGUCGGAAUCGCUAGUAAUCGUGAAUCAGAAUGUCACGGUGAAUACGUUCCCGGGCCUUGUACACACCGCCCGUCACACCAUGGGAGUGGAUUGCACCAGAAGUGGUUAGUCUAACCUUCGGGAGGACGAUCACCACGGUGUGGUUCAUGACUGGGGUGAAGUCGUAACAAGGUAACCGUA